rnacentral:rRNA from 1 species
UACGUAGGGGGGCUAGCGUUGUCCGGAUUUAUUGGGCGUAAAGAGCGUGUAGGCGGUCCGGUAAGUCGGCUGUGAAAGUCCAGGGCUCAACCCCUGGGAUGCCGGUCGAUACUGGACGGCUAGAGUCUGGUAGGGGGAUCUGGAAUUCCUGGUGUAGCGGUGGAAUGCGCAGAUAUCAGGAGGAACACCGGUGGCGAAGGCGGGGAUCCUGGGCCAGUACUGACGCUGA